AAUGAACGUUGGCGGCGUGGAUUAGGCAUGCAAGUCGAGCGAGAACCGUAGCAAUACGGGGACAGCGGCGAAAGGGAGAGUAACACGUGGAUACCUACCCUCGGGUCCAGGAUAGCUGCGGGAAACUGCAGGUAAUACUGGAUGACAUCUCCGGAUCAAAGGUGUGAUUCCGCCCGGGGAGGGGUUCGCGUCCUAUUAGCUAGUUGGCGAGGUAACGGCUCACCAAGGCGAAGAUGGGUAUGGGGUGUGAGAGCAUGCCCCCACUCACUGGGACUAAGACACUGCCCAGACACCUACGGGUGGCUGCAGUCGAGAAUCUUCGGCAAUGGGGGAAACCCUGACCGAGCGACGCCGCGUGCGAGAUGAAGGCCUUCGGGUUGUAAAUCGCUGUCAGAGGGGAGGAAAUGCCGGUGGGUUCUCCCAUCGGUUUGACCUAUCCUCAGAGGAAGGACGGGCUAAGUUCGUGCCAGCCGCCGCGGUAACAC
rnacentral:rRNA from 1 species